AACGAACGCUGGCGGCAUGCCUAACACAUGCAAGUCGAACGAUUGCCUUCGGGUGAUAGUGGCGCACGGGUGCGUAACGCGUGGGAAUCUGCCCUUAGGUUCGGAAUAACAGCUGGAAACGGCUGCUAAUACCGGAUGAUAUCGCGAGAUCAAAGAUUUAUCGCCUGAGGAUGAGCCCGCGUUGGAUUAGGUAGUUGGUGGGGUAAAGGCCUACCAAGCCGACGAUCCAUAGCUGGUCUGAGAGGAUGAUCAGCCACACUGGGACUGAGACACGGCCCAGACUCCUACGGGAGGCAGCAGUUGGGAAUAUUGGACAAUGGGCGCAAGCCUGAUCCAGCAAUGCCGUGUGAGUGAUGAAGGCCCUAGGGUUGUAAAGCUCUUUUACCCGGGAAGAUAAUGACUGUACCGGGAGAAUAAGCCCCGGCUAACUCCGUG
rnacentral:rRNA from 1 species